GCUUUCCUGCGCUCUGAGAGGGGUUGUCUGCCCUUGCAUGGGGCCAAGUCACUAGGAAGCCGCAAAUCUUUUUAGUACGAAGGCACUAGACUUUCUAAAAGAUUCGGCCAAGGAAGCUGUCUUCCGUGUCUCUUUUUCUUCCAAGCCGCCCUCCCCAGCCACAAGCCGCCGCAGGACCCAGUGGGGCUGAAUGACAGGCGGUCCAGCCCAAAGUAAGACUUGACAGACAUCGUGAGCUGCCUGCUGGAAGGAACCCCACGCAGCAGGCACUGCUUCCCGACGGGAUCUGAAGGACCCUGAGCAUCCUCUCUACCCAAAAGAGACGCUUUGCACCUGCUCCCACCUUGCAUCCUCUGUGCUUUUACUCUCUCAGCCUCUCAUUUAAAAGCAUCCCCAAAGCUCCCCUUCCCCUCCCACCAUGAUUGGAAGCUUUCUGAGGCCCUAUGCAGAAGGAGAUGUGGCACCAUGCUUCUCUCUACAGCCCGCAGAACUGUGAGCCAAAUAAACCUCUUUUUUAAAUUGCAUUUUAGGUUUGGGGUACAUGUGAAGAACAUGCAAGAUAGUUGCAUAGAUACACUU
rnacentral:lncRNA from 1 species